CCCAGACUCCUACGGGAGGCAGCAGUGAGGAAUAUUGGUCAAUGGACGCAAGUCUGAACCAGCCAUGCCGCGUGCAGGAAGACGGCUCUAUGAGUUGUAAACUGCUUUUGUACGAGGGUAAACGCAGAUACGUGUAUCUGUCUGAAAGUAUCGUACGAAUAAGGAUCGGCUAACUCCGUGCCAGCAGCCGCGGUGAUACGGAGGAUUCAAGCGUUAUCCGGAUUUAUUGGGUUUAAAGGGUGCGUAGGCGGUUCGAUAAGUUAGAGGUGAAAUCCCGGGGCUCAACUCCGGCACUGCCUCUGAUACUGUCGGGCUAGAGUUUAGUUGCGGUAGGCGGAAUGUAUGGUGUAGCGGUGAAAUGCAUAGAGAUCAUACAGAACACCGAUUGCGAAGGCAGCUUACCAAACUAUAUCUGACGUUGAGGCACGAAAGCGUGGGUAGCAAACAGGAUUAGAUACCCCCGUAC
rnacentral:rRNA from 1 species